rnacentral:rRNA from 1 species
GAUGAACGCUGACAGAAUGCUUAACACAUGCAAGUCAACUUGAACUUCGGUUUGGGUGGCGGACGGGUGAGUAACGCGUAAAGAACUUGCCUCACAGUUAGGGACAAAAUUUGGAAACGAAUGCUAAUACCUGAUAUUAUGAUUUUAGGGCAUCCUAGAAUUAUGAAAGCUAUAUGCGCUGUGAGAGAGCUUUGCGUCCCAUUAGCUAGUUGGAGAGGUAACGGCUCACCAAGGCGAUGAUGGGUAGCCGGCCUGAGAGGGUGAACGGCCACAAGGGGACUGAGACACGGCCCUUACUCCUACGGGAGGCAGCAGUGGGGAAUAUUGGACAAUGGACCAAGAGUCUGAUCCAGCAAUUCUGUGUGCACGAUGAAGUUUUUCGGAAUGUAAAGUGCUUUCAGUUGGGAAGAAAAAAAUGACGAUACCAACAGAAGAAGUGACGGCUAAAUACGUG